AGCCGUUGCUAGAAGAUUUUGGGCACGUAUGGUCGAGACCAGGUCCUACUGCCAAUAUUUUGGUGUCGCGCCGUUCCUACAUAACGCAGGCUGCAGAGAGUGGCAUCUAAGCUCGCUAUUCAAGGGCUGAAGCCAGCAGUUAGCGGCAAUGCUUGCAACUGCACUGUGCUCCUGUGCUUCAACAUCAAUCAUACGAGUGUAUGGUACAACCAGUGCAUAACGAGAGUUCGAUACAUUACACUCGCCUGAACUUGACCAAGGAGCACAUGAAUGCAGCGGACAAGGCCAUGGCUUGUGCUUGGAAGGUUGUUGGUAACUCCACUACGUACAUUCAAGCGCUCGACGAUGCUGCUGCAUUUGUACGCCACGCUGCUUUGAGCUUUGGGUGGACCUGAACGAAUAAAUUCGCGCGUAGAAAGUA